CACUAGUAACGUUAGCUUAGUUAAGGACAGCUAGCAACUAGCUGAUGCUAGCGAGGCUUGUAUGGACAAGAAGCUUUCAAACAGGGAGGACGUUGUUUCUGACUGAUUGAAAUGAAUGCAGUCACAGAAACUUUUCCGGAUUUUGCUGCUUUGGUCCAUUGGUGGAAUUAUGGACAAUGAGGUCUUUCAAGCUUGUGGAGAACAUCUAUGCAGACACUGAGAUUUUCGAUCCUGAGGCUCUCAACAACCAUCAUCCAUUGACUGCAUACACAGUGGGAGGGAAGAUACUGGUGACCCCAAAAGUGUGCCUGCUGCAUUGAAGGGACGCAGAAUGGUCCAAGCUACGUAACGCAGGCUGCAUUGAGGUCAGCAUUAACCGGAGAAGAAGCGGUGAAGAUGAUGGUGCAGGUCCUUCUU